rnacentral:tRNA from 1 species
GAAGGUGUAAUGCAAUGGUAGAGUGUUUGCUUAGCAUGCACAAGGCCCUGGGUUUGAUCUCCCAGCAUCUCCU